rnacentral:tRNA from 1 species
AUUAUUUUGGCAGAAUAAUGCGUUAGAUUUAGAAUCUAUUAAUUCUAAAAUUUCC